rnacentral:misc_RNA from 1 species
CUCCCCUUGUACAACUGGCCUGGGAAAAGCCCGCCGCUUCUUCCAUCCUCUCCUCCUCUUUUCUCUCUUUCAGUUUCGCUGUUCUCUCAUCAAAGCUAACGCUUUUUUGUUACAUAUUUUUUUGGCUUGGUCUUUUCCACGAUACGAGAUUCUUAUUCUUCUUCUCCUUCACUGGCUUGUUGGAAUAUACACACAUCCUUCUUUCAUUGAUUGAUUCUCUCGCCGCAUCCAUUUGUCUAUAGAAUCAAAUACUGGUAUACACUUUAUAUAUAAAAGCCAACCAAGAAAGUGUGUUCUGUUUAAAAUUUAGAAUAAGAAUUAUGAGAGCGAGAUUGGUUGUGUUUCCUGUGAGAGGAAGGAAUUGGUGUUUUAGCAGAUCCAUCGACCCUUCCAUUGCUGAGGAUGCCUCAGCAUACACCCCCUCUUCUCUCAAGGAACUCUGGAAGAAGAUCUCAUCCUCCAACUCCAAUGCCCACAAUGCUGAGCUUCUCAUCGAUUUUGUCUCCAACAAGAUGAAUAGAGCAUGGAUGGGUCUAGAGAAGGCGCCAGAGGGCUCUUUGAAGAAUAAGAUUCAUGGGUUGGGAUUGAAGCUUUUGGCACGGGUUAAGCCAUCUGAGAUUUUCUUAAAAUCUAUAUCUAAGGAGGUCACUGAUGUUGAAAUUACAUACCCCUCCAGUUUAAAUCCACGACUUGUACGGCGAAGA